rnacentral:rRNA from 1 species
CCUACGGGUGGCAGCAGUGAGGAAUAUUGGUCAAUGGGCGCGAGCCUGAACCAGCUAAGUCGCGUGAGGGAAGACGGCCCUACGGGUUGUAAACCUCUUUUGCCGGGGAGCAACGGGCGCCACGUGUGGCGCCACUGAGAGUACCCGGACAAAAAGCAUCGGCUAACUCCGUGCCAGCAGCCGCGGUAAUACGGGGGUUGCGAGCGUUAUCCGGAUUUAUUGGGUUUAAAGGGUGCGUAGGCGGAGCGUUAUGUAAGUGGUCAAAUGAAGGGGCUCAACUCCUUCCCGCCAUUGAAACUGGCGCACUUGAGUGGAAGAGAAGUAUGCGGAAUGCGUGGUGUAGCGGUGAAAUGCAUAGAUAUCACGCAGAACCCCGAUUGCGAAGGCAGCAUGCCGGCUUCCGACUGACGCUGAAGCACGAAAGCGUGGGGAUCGAACAGGAUUAGAUACCCGGGUAGUC